UUCUUAUUGGAUGAUGACUGUCACGUGUCAUGUUUUGAUUGGCUGUCAACUCCAUGAUAGAUGAAAUACAUUGUUAUUUUCAUUGACCAAUCAGAAUAUGACACGUGACAGUCAUCAUCU
rfam:Glycine soja cultivar W05 scaffold1660_178, whole genome shotgun sequence.